rnacentral:tRNA from 1 species
UGGCUCAGUGGUUAAGCACUCAGCUGCUAAUUGAAAGGUUGGUGGUUCGAACCCACC